GGAUAGGAUAUACACCAUUUCGCGGCAUCGUCGCCAUUUUAUUCGUACUUGGUUGUUCACAAUUACUUUCAAUUACAGUAAAAGUAGUUUUUUUCUGUUUUGUAAACUGUAUUUUCGACGGUUUUGAUGUAAACUACCAUCAGCGGAUACGUGAGCGGAUACAUUUUCUUCUGUCUUACGUCUGAGAUCAGAUGAGACACCAUCUCCAGGAUCCUCAAUCCUUCAACCGAUUGUAUUGAACAAUAGAGCACAAAGAUUCAUUGGAGAGAACCAAACACCAGAUGAACCACCAUCUCCUGCAGUUUCAUACUUCUCUUUCAAAAGCAACCAUUCGAUGAAUUGGCAGUAUGAAUUUAACAGAAUUCAGAGUUAUGGUGUUAACAGUGAACUAUUUGAGGCACUGUCCCCAGCACCCUCACUCCUGUCUGUAAAGAGUAAUGAGUCAAUGGAUGGGCCAGUUGUGACAAGAGAGAGACUACAUAAUUGCAGGUAUAAAAUUAAAUGAUGUAUGCAUAUAUUGUGCUUCAUGU
rnacentral:lncRNA from 1 species